rnacentral:tRNA from 1 species
GGGAGUAUGGCGCAAUGGCUAACGCAAUCGGCUGUUAACCGAUAGAUUCCAAGUUCGAAUCUUGGUGUUCCCG